CUAAGUAUUCAGUGUGAUGGUAGCUCGCUGGUGGUUUGUUUUAUUUUGUUAGCAUGUGCUAUAUAUAUAUAUAUAUAUAUAGUCUUUAAUGGGUAUACUGUAACACAUUUGUAUCAUGUAGAAGGAAAAGUAUUGUUUAAGAAUCCCUGUAAAUAACAGAGCUAUAUUGUAUUGGUCUGCAAACUAUGGCACAUGAGGCUGCUGCACCCAGAGGCUGGGGAAAUGUGAAUAUCAUGCUCAGCACUGGCCUGAUAGAGGUCCCAGUGAACUUCUUCUGAUAUCUGAUAGUGCCCAAUGUAGACGGUGGUGAGGGACAGCCCUAAAUUUUUAAGGUACAUUGUAAACCAUUCUAAAAUUCUACUGGAUGCACUCCUAGCACCAUAACGACAACAGAGGCCUUUAGUGGUUAUGGUGCUUGGAGUGUUCUCUUAACUCAGUCACCUAUUCCUCAG